rnacentral:rRNA from 1 species
UACGUAGGAUGCAAGCGUUAUCCGGAAUCACUGGGCGUAAAGCGUCCGCAGGUGGGUCUGCAAGUCAAAUGUAAAAUUCCGAUGCUCAACAUCGGAAUCGUAUUUGAUACUACAGAUCUAGAGGAUGGGAGAGGCUAGUGGAAUUCUCGGUGUAGGGGUAAAAUCCGUAGAUAUCGAGAGGAACACCAAAAGCGAAGGCAGCUAGCUGGAACAUUCCUGACACUCAUGGACGAAAGCGUGGGGAGCGAAA